UAAAUUGUUUAGUUAAUGUUGAAUAGUUGUUUUGAUUUGAAACAAUUUUUUCCAAACAGUUCUAUGAAAACAUACAUGGAAAACAGUGAUCUCCAUGGAAACAUUGAUUAAACAAAAACAUGUUAAAUUGUUAGUUUAUUUUAAACAGUACUGACUAGUUGCUUUGAUUUGAAAUAAGUUUUCUUUUUAAGUUUUUUGAAAAAUUACCACGACAAAAGUGGUGUCCAUGGAUACAUUGAUUAAACAACAACACACUAAAUUGUUUAGUUAAUGUUGAAUAGUGGUUUUGAUUUGAAAUAAGUAUUGGAACCAGUUUUUUGAAACAUUACGUGGAAAACAGUGGUCUCCAUGGAAACAUUGAUUAAAUAAAAACAUGUUAAAUUGUUAGUUUAUUAUAACCAGUACUGACUAGUUGUUUUGAUCUGAAAUGAGUUUUUUAAAAAGUUUUUUGAAAAAUUACCACGACAAAAGUGGUCUCCAUAGAUACAUGGAUUAAACAACAACACACUAAAAUUACUUCAGGGCGUCACCUAUUGGUCAGUUGUUAUUGGGUGACUACACUUUAUCUGAAUUCUGAUUGACUGGGAGCUGGGACUAAUGUGGAGGACGGAGGAAGAGAAGCGAGAGACGACGAGGAGACUCUAUGCACCACAGGAGAAUUGAAGGACCAAGGGAGGAGCGUUCGGUGAGCUGGAUCCUGGAAGUCUGCACAAGAACCUGUGGAGAGGAAGAGGCUAGCUACGCCUGCGGGGGGCCCGCUUCUUGGACUUGGAUGCGUUUUUCUCCGCCUUUACCGAGAAAGGUGUGGAAUAGCUGGCCGUUAUCUGGAGAGACAGACACCAGGACUUUAAAUAAACUAGCCACUGUGGAUCGAG